GACGAACGCUGGCGGCGUGCCUAAUACAUGCAAGUCGAGCGGAACUGGGGGAGCUUGCUCCUUCCAGUUUAGCGGCGGACGGGUGAGUAACACGUGGGCAACCUGCCCUGCAGAUCGGGAUAACUCCGGGAACCGGUGCUAAUACCGAAUAGUUUGGCGCCUCUCCUGAGGCCCCCCGGCAAGACGGUUUCGGCUGUGACGGUAGGAUGGGCCCGCGGCGCAUUAGCUAGUUGGUGGGGUAACGGCCCACCAAGGCGACGAUGCGUAGCCGACCUGGGAGGGUGACCGGCCACACUGGGACUGAGACACGGCCCAGACUCCUACGGGAGGCAGCAGUAGGGAAUCUUCCGCAAUGGACGCAAGUCUGACGGAACAACGCCGCGUGAGUGACGAAGGUUUUCGGAUCGUAAAACUCUGUUGUGAGGGAAGAACACGCACCAACUAACUAUUGGUGCCUUGACGGUACCUCACCAGAAAGCCACGGCUAACUACGUGCCAGCCGCCGCGGAA
rnacentral:rRNA from 1 species